GCCGGGCGCGGUGGCUCACGCCUGUAAUCCCAGCACUUUGGGAGGCCGAGGCGGGCGGAUCACGAGGUCAGGAGAUCGAGACCAUCCUGGACAACAAGGCAAGACCUCAUCUCUACCCAAAUUUAAAAAUUAGGGCCGGGCGCGGUNNNNNNNNNNGCCUCCCAAAGUGCUGGGAUUACAGGCGUGAGCCACCGCGCCCGGCCCUAAUUUUUAAAUUUGGGUAGAGAUGAGGUCUUGCCUUGUUGUCCAGGAUGGUCUCGAUCUCCUGACCUCGUGAUCCGCCCGCCUCGG
rnacentral:SRP_RNA from 1 species